GAUCCCAUCAGAACUCCGAAGUAAAGAGUGCUUUGGCGAGAGUAUUACUAGGAUGGGUGACCUUUUGGAAAGUCCUCGUGUUGCACCGA
rnacentral:rRNA from 1 species